CCCCCAGCACUCCUCCGCAGGGAAAUGGCACGAACCCGCUCUGUAGCCAGUAUUAGCAAUAAACUUGGUCUCACUCCCGUUUAGCCAUGGCAGAUGCUGUGAUGCGCGUCACGGAAGAGCUGGAGCUGCUUUACCAGAUAUGGGCACGGAUGCUGGAAGGCUUGCGGACUUCCGCACCGUCACACUCUCCCCCCCAGGAAGAAACAACCCAUGGUUGAUGAAACAAACAAACAGGUGUUUUUUUUUUUUUUUUUUUUUUUUUUAUCUUUUAGAAGCCCAAGAAUUCUUGAUCAUCAGAGCCUGCUGGAAUAACUGCUUAAGUUUUUCCCUUUCUUGGGACUCAAACUCUUCUGAUGUUGGAUAGCAUGGUUUGAGGUUACGUAUAUGAGCUGUGCGGACGUCCUCUCCGGUUUCCUCCAGUGCUAUCUGGUAAUUCAGUGGGCCUAACCGCUUUAAUACCCGGUAAGGUCCUUUCCACUUUGGGGCUAGUUUUGCAGUAAUGUUGUGUUGAGCGCUGGACUGGGGAAAAUUUCUUAACCAGACACGGCUUUUUUCCUCAAAUGAGGCUUCUCUCUGGGUUUUAUUGUAACUUCUGAGCUGUCUUUUUUGGGCUUUUUUACAGCACUCAUCUGCUUUCAACCUCAGCUGUGCAAGAUGGUGGACAACAUCAUAGGAUGAAGUGGAGGGUGAUAGACAUUUACCCUGGAGUAAUUUACUGAAUCCCAAUGCUCUCCCGUACUGCUGAGUUCAUGGCAAAACGGAGUUCAGCUCUUUGAAUAUGGAGGAAACAAAUUGGGUGCCACGGUCAGACAAGAUGAAGUCUGGAACACCCCACCGGGUGAGGAUUUCAGUCCUGAGAAUUUUCGCUAUGGUUGGAGCAUUAGCGUUGCACAUGGGAAAGAACUCAACCCAGCGAGAGAAAUAGUCAACAAAAACGUUGUGUGCUGCUUGGCAAGGGCCCCAUGAUGUCGACACCCACCAUCUUGUUGGGUUGUGACACAGAAACGGGUUGUAGUUUGCCAGCCGGCUUUUGGUUCUCACUUUUCAGUGUUUGACAUUUGGUACAACACUUAACAUG